CUGUAUGAGUUCAUCCCAAAUGACACACUAUUUUCCAUGUGGGCCCUGGUCAAAAGCAGGGCACUAAAUAUGAACCAGGCUGCCAUUUGGGACAAAGCCUAUGCGUAAAUACAUGAUGAUGGUGUUGUUAUGAAGUUGUAAAGGAGGCUUAUCUGUUGGACUUUGUUCCACGGGAUCAUGAGGAAGUGAGGUAGAGUUGUUUAGUGUGUGUGUGUUUUGCGGGGAGCUGCUGCUGUUGCAGAAGAAAAAUCAGCCCGCGCAGAGAAGCACGAGAUGGAACCUCACUCAACUGUCUAGUUCUCCCCGUUAGUUAAACACUAUCAACCCUUUACUGUGGGAAUUGUGAUCGAAACAACACAAUUAUUAGCUACUUUCAAUGCAACAUACCGAAACAAAACCAACGAUUCAAGAGACUUUGUUGUAGACAGAACUCAACAGAGCAGGAUUCUAUUGCAUUGACAUGCACAUACUCUAGUCUAAACAGACCGGUGCGCCGUAACCAAUCAGAGCUGCAGUAAGGCCUAUAUGCAAAUAAACCACUACCAUACCUGUGCCUUCACGUUGAAAGUGACUGUCUUUACAGAAUCAGCGGUCGUGAGUAGAUGAGCUGUUUUGAGAUCAUAUUCUUUGCUCGUUGAAGCACUCGGGGAGUUUCAAACUCAGAGCACCCUUUCCCAGCCACGAGCAGAGCAACAGCCCCUUACCUUUUUGGAGUCCUGGAGGAGACGAGGUACUGUGGACUGGAGUCCUGGAGGAGACGAGGUACUGUGGACUGUGUGAGGCUAAAGAUCAGAGCUGCUACUCCCUCGAGACAGUGAGAAAGUGAACCAGGUAGGAAAGAGAGCGAGAACGAGCGCGCACACAGAGGGGAGGAGUGGGGCAGAUGAGGUAACAACGUUAUCUGAAGUGGCUGAAUAGUGAACACAAGCCUGAUGGAAAAUAACUCCACCCGUUGGUCAAUCACUAGUUCCAGUGUAAUUGCAUCAUCACUGUGUGACGACGAAUCACAGUAUAAAAGUAAGCAGGAAAUUCCACUCACAACAGGGGCAUUUCACAAAUGACAUUGAGCCCUGGUCAAAUGUAGUGUACUACCGUAUCUAGGGAACAUGGUGUCAUUUGGGACACAGGCCUGAAGACUCUGAUUCCCAUCAAUAGACCAGAGACCUCUGACUCACUAAAGGGUUUUAAAGUGAAGAGGUGGAGGGGUGUGAAUAUCCUGUGUUCGUGUGUGUGUGUGUGUUGAGGGGAAAUUGUGGCUGUGGUGGUUACAGACUGAAACAACGCAAAGAGGAUUCGCCAUGAGUCCAAAACACUGGAUACGGAGACCGAGGCCGGGACUCUGCACACCCAAGCUGAGGGGACGCGGCACCUGGGAGAGAGACUGCAGCAUAUCCACUUCUGGAAUCGGAGCUGCAGCGGCACAUCGAGAAGCUGGUGGCCGAGACAGACCUCCUCCUGGGACAGAAGAGGAGGCUGUUGAAGGCGCUGGACGCCACUAAGAUCCCGUUUGCCAUCGCCACGGAUAACCUAACCUGUCGGGAACUGCGACCGCGUAGAGGAGGAGCUGCUGAUGAUACAAAAAUAACACAGACUUGUCUUUGCUCUAGUUCACCGAAAUACUUGUAUCAUUAUUACAUGUUGCCUAUACAUUAUUUCACUAGAAACCAAUCUGAAAAUAAGGUGAUGGUUGUGUUUGUGUACCGCAGGAGGUGGAGUUAAUCAGGAGCAUCCAGGCUCUGUUGAAGAGAACGCUGAGUCAGGCUGUCAAUCAAAUCAAGAACAGAACGUACAUAAACCAAAAAUCAACUCGCUGAUGGGACGUUCCAUUAUAAGGAGAGUGGCCAGCUCCAAGG